rnacentral:lncRNA from 1 species
AUUCGGAAAGUCCAUAAUCACAUGGCAAAAUCAAAUAACAAAACGCAUCAAAAACGAAUGGACAAGAACUGUCAUAUUCCUGACUUGGUACAGGCAUUUUCAAAUGUAGAAAAUGGUGGAUUGAACCUGUUUUUAUAGCUAGCUAAACCUCUCACUUGUAUGACAGUCCCAUCAAAUUACAUUAUAUUGUCACCGAUGCAUGAACAAAACAAA